GUGGGGAAUAUUGCACAAUGGGCGGAAGCCUGAUGCAGCAACGCCGCGUGCGGGAUGACGGCCUUCGGGUUGUAAACCGCUUUCACUCAUGACGAAGCGCGAGUGACGGUAAUGGGAGAAGAAGCACCGGCCAACUACGUGCCAGCAGCCGCGGUGAUACGUAGGGUGCGAGCGUUGUCCGGAAUUAUUGGGCGUAAAGAGCUUGUAGGCGGUUGAUCGCGUCGGAAGUGAAAUUCCAGGGCUUAACUCUGGGCUUGCUUCCGAUACGGGUCGACUUGAGGAAGGUAGGGGAGAAUGGAAUUCUCGGUGGAGCGGUGGAAUGCGCAGAUAUCGGGAAGAACACCAGUGGCGAAGGCGGUUCUCUGGACCUUUCCUGACGCUGAGAAGCGAAAGCGUGGGGAGCAAACAGGCUUAGAAACCCUGGUAGUCC
rnacentral:rRNA from 1 species